rnacentral:rRNA from 1 species
CGUCUAUAUACGUAUAGCAUAUCAAUAAGCGGAGGAAAAGAAACUAACUAGGAUUCCCUCAGUAACGGCGAGUGAAGCGGGAAAAGCUCAAAUUUGAAAUCUUCAAGGUUCUACCUUGACGAAUUGUAGUUUAAAGAAGUGUUUUCUGUUGGAGUUUUGGUAAAAGUUCUUUGGAAUAGGACAUCAUAGAGGGUGAGAAUCCCGUAUUUGACCAUUAUUUCCAACUUUGUGAUACACUUUCAAAGAGUCGGAUUGUUUGGGAAUGCAGUCCAAAAUGGGUGGUAAAUUUCAUCUAAAGCUAAAUACUGGCGAGAGACCGAUAGCGAACAAGUACCGUGAGGGAAAGAUGAAAAGAACUUUGAAAAGAGAGUUAAACAGUACGUGAAAUUGUCAAAAGGGAAGCGUUUGACACCAGUGUUGUUUUCUCGAAAAUCAAUUAAAAAUGACCGGAUUUUGUGUUGUAUUGACUUUAUCAGCUUUCUGCACUUUUUUCCUUAUCUUUUUUAAUGCACUUUUCGUUUAACAAGUCAACAUCAAUUUCUUUUGUUGUAAAAGAGUCAUUGGAAGGUGGCUUUCUUUUCGGAGAAAGUGUUUAUAGCCUUUGACUUCUGCAGUCGGAGAGAUUGAGGUCUGCAGCGUAGAUCCUUCGGGGUUAGAUACAUUUGUGCUAAGUUAUAGCCUUUCAUAGACAACUUGUUGACUAUGAUCAGUCAUGUAGCUUACUCGCUUAUGUCUAUUUUACCUACGCUUAGGAUGUUGACGAUCAGCUGAGCGCG